rnacentral:rRNA from 1 species
GUGCGCUGGCGUGGCGGGCCGGUAAAUUUGAUGGACGGGCUUGGGAGGUGAGGCUGGCAGUUCCUUAAACGUGGAGCGUAAGGGGUGCGUAAAAGA